GUCAAAAAUUUGUGGGCUGCUUUUGGAGUCAAAAGCGAGACGGGUGAAGAAAUAAUACAAUCCCUGCCAUUUAAUGCCAUGAAGAUGCCAUCGGGAAGGGUGCAUGGGUAGUAAUUUGAAGGCAUUCACCAUGUCCGUUUUGCUUAGCCAUGCCCCUGUGCCCACGUUAAGGAUGGCCCCUAUGGCAUGAUCAAUAGUGGCGUAGUGUAGUGAAAAUUCUUCAGAAGGCAUGAGUGAAUUAAGGCUGGGGACAGUGGAGGAAUGUGGUGCAGAUAAAUCAAUGAUCAGUCUAGGUUUGAGUGAAGUCUUCCUUGUGACAACCCCAAUGGGGUUGGUUCUUCAAGAUGUGAAGGGUGGUGAAAAGAAUGGGCCCAACAGAAACUCUUGUUUCACCUCGGUCAUGAU